AACCUGGUUGAUCCUGCCAGUAGUCAUAUGCUUGUCUCAAAGAUUAAGCCAUGCAUGUAUAAGUAUAAAUUUGUUUAUGGUGAAACUGCGAAUGGCUCAUUACAACGGUUAUAGUUUACUUGAGAUAUAACUACUGGAUACCCGUAGUAACUCUAGAGCUAAUACAUUUAUCGGGACAUCAGUCUCGUGUUUAUUAGAUUUCACCGAACAGAUUUUCUGUUGGGGAGUCAUGAUAAAUUAACGAAUCGUGUAUCGAUGCUUCAAACAAGUUUCCGUCCCAUCAGCCAUGAUGGUUGCGUAUUGGACUACCAUGGCAGUUACGGGUAACGAGGAAUUGGGGUUCGAUUUCGGAGAGGGAGUCUGAGAAACGGCUACCACAUCUACGGAAGGCAGCAGGCGCGCAAAUUACCCAAUGUAAAUAUGUAUGAGGUAGUGACAAGAAAUAUCAAAGUAACCUUCGGGCUACUAUUGAAAUGGGUAAAAUUUAAACAAUUUUACGAGGAGCAACUGGAGGGCAAGUCUGGUGCCAGCAGCCGCGGCAACACCAGCUCCAGUAGCGUAUAUUAAAGUUGUUGCAGUUGAAACGCUCGUAGUCUGAUUCAAUCCGCAAGGAAAUAAUCGCUCGCCUCGAAAUACAGUGCAGUCAUCCGUCUGGGAAUAUCCUCCCCCCCCUACCACCGGGUGGGGGUUCCGGGGUUUUUCCCCUGAAAAAUUUAGGGUUUCAGGCAGGCAAACCUUAAAACUCCGCCAUGGAAGAAGAGGAAAAAACUUAGCUGUUUGGGGGCUUGAAAAGAAAAAAUUUUUUAGGGACCAGUCGAAGGCCAUUUUACUUUAAUCGAAAAGAGUGGAAUUUUUGGGCCGGUUUAAUGCCAAACCAAAAGCGGAAGGCUUCUGCCCAAGGAUGUUUUCUUUGAUCAAGAACGAAGGUCAAGGUAUCGAAGACGAUCAGAUACCGUCGUAGUCCUGACUGUAAACUAUGCCGACUGGGGUUCAAUGAUAAGAAAUAAGAUAUCGUUGGGGAUCCAGAGAGAAAUCAAAGUUUUUGGGUUCUGGGGGAAAGUAUGGUCGCAAGGCUGAAACUUGAAGGAAUUGACGGAAGGGCACCACCAGGCGUGGAGCUUGCGGCUUAAUUUGACUCAACGCGGGGAAACUUACCAGGUCAAAACAUGCGAAGGAUUGACAGGCUGAUAGUCCUUUCUCGAUUGCAUGGCUGGUGGUGCAUGGCCGUUCUUAGUUGGUGGACUGAUUUGUCUGGUUAAUUCCGGUAACGAACGAGACCUUGGCCUGCUAACUAGAUAGUGUACUUCUGUGCACUAAGCUUCUUAGAGGGACAAUGGUGGUUACAUCACUGAAGCUCAAGGUAAUAACAGGUCUGUUAUGCCCUUAGAUGUCCUGGGCCGCACGCGUGCUACACUGACACACUCAGCAAGCCACUUGGUCGGCAGAUCAAGUAAAUCAUCAAAGUGUGUCUUGUUAGGGACAGUUCCUUGUAAUUGUGGAGCUCUAACAAGGAAUGCCUAGUAAGUGCAAGUCAACAUCUUGUGCUGAUUACGUCCCUGCCCUUUGUACACACCGCCCGUCGCUCCUACCGAUUUCGAGUGAUUAGGUGAGCCUUCCUCGAACCGCAAGGAAAGAGAAACAAAUCUAACUACUUAGAGGAAGGAGAAGUCGUAACAAGGUUUCUGUAGGUGAACCUGCAGAAGGAUCAA
rfam:Tncultured marine eukaryote clone MA1_2F4 18S ribosomal RNA gene, partial sequence.